rnacentral:rRNA from 1 species
UACGGGGGGAGCAAGCGUUGUUCGGAUUUACUGGGCGUAAAGGGCGGGUAGGCGGCCACUGUAAGUCGACUGUGAAAUCUCCGGGCUUAACCCGGAACGGUCAGCCGAUACUACAGGGCUAGAGUGCAGAAGGGGCAACUGGAAUUCUCGGUGUAGCGGUGAAAUGCGUAGAUAUCGAGAGGAACACCUGCGGCGAAGGCGGGUUGCUGGGCUGACACUGACGCUGAACUGCGAAAGCUAGGGGAGCGAACGGG